AUAAAGAGUCUUACCUGCCCUAUGAUAUUUUAAAUGGCCGCGGUACUCUGACCGUGCAAAGGUAGCAUAAUAAUUUGCCUUCUAAUUAGAGGCUGGAAUGAAUGGUUUGACAUGAGAAAAUCUGUCUCUAUAUAAUUCAAUAGAACUUAAUUUAUAGGUGAAGAAGCCUAUAUUAAAUAAAAAGACGAGAAGACCCUAUCGAGCUUAAUAUAACAUUAGAGAUAAACAAAAUAAAUUUUAUAACUCUAUAUUUAUUUGGUUGGGGCGACCAAGGAACAUUAAAAGCUUCCUUUGAAUAUUAUAAAUCGGCAAAUUAAAGAUCCAUUAGUUGUGAUUAAAGAAUAUAGUUACCGUAGGGAUAACAGCAUAAUUCCCUUUAAGAGCUCAAAUCGAAAAGGGAGAUUGUGACCUCGAUGUUGGACCAAAGUUACCUAAAGGUGCAGAAGCCUUAAAGUGUGGUC
rnacentral:rRNA from 1 species